GCAGGGCUCGUCCUCCGGUUCUUUUAUGCGGGGAAGAUGGGAGAGUGUCGGUAGAAGUCGAAGCAGAAAUGUCAGGAUUUCUGCAGGCAGAAACAAACGGGAGUAGAGCAGCGAGGGCUUUCUCCUCUAUUUUGCUGGUAUCCCCAACCACCCUCUGAGCUACUUCUGACCUGCAAGAUGGACAAUGUCCUCCUAUUCAAAGCAUUCCUAAGGCUGUUUGUCCAGGCACAACCCCCCAUCCCUGGGGAUAAUGAAAUAUAUUGGCAAUCUCUCUUCGAUGUUUAAACCCCUCUCUCCGUGAAGGAGUAAGAUCUGAUGGCACGUCUACUAGUGUCACAGAAUUGGAAAGGAUUGAAACAUCUGUGUAUCUCCAGUUGGAAACAGAAUGGAUGGUCUAUUGCUGCACCAGAGAAAUUAACAAAGAGAUUACAUGCAUUGAAUAAUACAAAUGAUGUAGACGA